ensembl:snRNA U6 U6 spliceosomal RNA
AUGCUCACUUUGGCGGCACAAAUACUAAAAUUGGAAUGAUACAGAGAAGAUUAGCAUGGCCCUUGUGCAAGGAUGAUACACAAAUAAUGAUAUUGUCCUCCCAUUAAU